GCAGUCGAGCGAGACCUUCGGGUCUAGCGGCGGACGGGUGAGUAACGCGUGGGAACGUGCCCUUUGCUACGGAAUAGUCCCGGGAAACUGGGUUUAAUACCGUAUGUGCCCUUCGGGGGAAAGAUUUAUCGGCAAAGGAUCGGCCCGCGUUGGAUUAGGUAGUUGGUGGGGUAAUGGCCUACCAAGCCGACGAUCCAUAGCUGGUUUGAGAGGAUGAUCAGCCACACUGGGACUGAGACACGGCCCAGACUCCUACGGGAGGCAGCAGUGGGGAAUCUUAGACAAUGGGGGCAACCCUGAUCUAGCCAUGCCGCGUGAGUGAUGAAGGCCUUAGGGUUGUAAAGCUCUUUCAGCUGGGAAGAUAAUGACGGUACCACC
rnacentral:rRNA from 1 species